AUGAAACCUACAAUGAACCCGCCAGACACCAAAUGUGUCUUGCUCCGGACAAUAUUUGUGGCUGCAUUUUGUACCCUAUGUGUAGUAACAUGCCCAGAGGACCAUUUCCAACUGCAAGAAUUGCUGUGCUGCUUGAACUGCCCAGAAGGUAUGUAUGUUGCCCGGAAUUGCUCUGGAGGACCCACAAACUACAUUGGUGUGCUAUGUAAUCCAUGCCGCAGAUGUGAAGAACUUGGAGAGAUAACUGUUUCCCAGUGCAUGCAGUUUUCAGACACACAGUGUGACAGGAAAUUGCGACGGAUAACCUUGUAUGGUUCCUCUUCUGUGAUAGCCGCUAUUUUCAUCCUGACUGUGAUUGUGGCAGCCUGCUUCUUUUGCAGAAUCCGUAAAUCAGGUGAAUCUAAUGAAAGCUCCGCAGGAGAACCAUUCCACAUUUCCAUAUAAAAGAUACAGAGACAGUCUGAAGAAAAUCUUAAACAGAGGAAAAUGUCCAGCUUUAAGAAUUGUAUAUUAUCAUUCAGUGAUUCAAUAACAUUAGAAAUACUGCAAUAAACAGUUCUAAAAAGAGGACA
ensembl:lncRNA